rnacentral:rRNA from 1 species
UACGGAGGGAGCUAGCGUUAUUCGGAAUUACUGGGCGUAAAGCGCACGUAGGCGGCUUUGUAAGUUAGAGGUGAAAGCCUGGAGCUCAACUCCAGAACUGCCUUUAAGACUGCAUCGCUUGAAUCCAGGAGAGGUGAGUGGAAUUCCGAGUGUAGAGGUGAAAUUCGUAGAUAUUCGCAAGAACACCAGUGGCGAAGGCGGCUCACUGGCCCGGUACUGACGCUGAGGUGCGAAAGCGUGGGGAGCAAACAGG